CCUACGGGUGGCAGCAGUGGGGAAUAUUGCACAAUGGGCGCAAGCCUGAUGCAGCCAUGCCGCGUGUAUGAAGAAGGCCUUCGGGUUGUAAAGUACUUUCAGCGGGGAGGAAGGCGAUAAGGUUAAUAACCUUGUCGAUUGGCGUUACCCGCAGAAGAAGCACCGGCUAACUCCGUGCCAGCAGCCGCGGUAAUACGGAGGGUGCAAGCGUUAAUCGGAAUUACUGGGCGUAAAGCGCACGCAGGCGGUCUGUCAAGUCGGAUGUGAAAUCCCCGGGCUCAACCUGGGAACUGCAUUCGAAACUGGCAGGCUGGAGUCUUGUAGAGGGGGGUAGAAUUCCAGGUGUAGCGGUGAAAUGCGUAGAGAUCUGGAGGAAUACCGGUGGCGAAGGCGGCCCCCUGGACAAAGACUGACGCUCAGGUGCGAAAGCGUGGGGAGCAAACAGGAUUAGAUACCCCAGUAGUC
rnacentral:rRNA from 1 species